rnacentral:lncRNA from 1 species
AAAAAUUGCAAAAUAUUUGAAAAUUUUUAACAUUUUCAAAUUUCAUUUUUUAUUGCUUAUGACAUUUUUUACACACAACAACAAUUAUACAUAAAUAUUUAUUUGUGAUUUACCAUUCUGGCACUUCCUUAUUAUAAUCAAUUAAAAAUUAUAAUAUGAAUGCUAUUAAUUUGUUACUAGACUAUGAAAUAAACAAUUUAAAGUUAUUUUUCAAACUCAUAUUUUAUCCUAAUCAUAUUGUUAUUUGCCACAGCUCGAUCUGCCACCUGGUGGAUAUUUUUGGUGUUAUUUUAGGGAUGAUCAUUUGUAUUUCAAAAUGGAGUAUAGAAGUCGCAAACUAUAUUCUGUUCCACAAUGCUCAUUACGAGCUAAAAAAGGAAUAAGUUUACAUGCAUUUCCAAAAGAAAAGAAAUUAAGAAAUUUGUGGAAGAUUAAAUUAAAAAUAGGAAAGGAUAUAA